CAUUAAAGAGUUCUAUAACUCCCAAACCCAUGUGAACAUACCUAACGUUGCCUCGGCAGGUCGCACCUACCUUGUAGCACCUUACCCUGUAAGGCCUACCCGGGAGGUGCGGGUAAGCCUGCCGGCGGCCCACCAAACUCUGUUUGAUAUUGAAUUCUGAACCUAUAACUAAAUAAGUUAAAACUUUCAACAACGGAUCUCUUGGUUCUGGCAUCGAUGAAGAACGCAGCGAAAUGCGAUAAGUAAUGUGAAUUGCAGAAUUCAGUGAAUCAUCGAAUCUUUGAACGCAUAUUGCGCCCAUUAGUAUUCUAGUGGGCAGGACCGUUCGAGCGUCAUUUCAACCCUUAAGCCUUCGUUGCUUAGUGUUGGGAGCCUACGGCAACGUAGCUCCUCAAAGUUAGUGGCGGAGUUGGUUCACACUCUAGACGUAGUAAUUUUUUAUCUCGCCUAUUAGUUGGACUAAUCCCCUGCCGUAAAACCCCUAAUUUAUCAAGGUUGACCUCGAAUCGGUUCAGACAAACUCGCUAAAUUGAAGCAUCUUAGUCAGCGAAGGAAAAGAAACCAACAGGGAUUGCCCUAGUAACGGCGAGUGAAGCGGCAACAGCUCAAAUUUGAAAUCUGGCCCUCGGGUCCGAGUUGU
rnacentral:rRNA from 1 species